rnacentral:rRNA from 1 species
UACGAAGGGGGCUAGCGUUGUUCGGAAUUACUGGGCGUAAAGCGCACGUAGGCGGACUAUUAAGUCAGGGGCGAAAUCCCGGGGCUCAACCCCGGAACUGCCUUUGAUACUGGUAGUCUCGAGUCCGGAAGAGGUGAGUGGAAUUCCGAGUGUAGAGGUGAAAUUCGUAGAUAUUCGGAAGAACACCAGUGGCGAAGGCGGCUCACUGGCCCGGUACUGACGCUGAGGUGCGAAAGCGUGGGGAGCAAACAGG